CCUACGGGAGGCAGCAGUGGGGAAUUGUUCGCAAUGGGCGAAAGCCUGACGACGCAACGCCGCGUGGAGGAUGAAGACCUUCGGGUCGUAAACUCCUUUCGACCGAGAAGAAUGGCUCUCGACCUAAUACGUCGAGAGCAUGACGGUACCGAGGGAAGAAGCCCCGGCUAACUCUGUGCCAGCAGCCGCGGUAAUACAGGGGGGGCAAGCGUUGUUCGGAAUUACUGGGCGUAAAGGGUUCGUAGGUGGCCAACUAAGUCAGACGUGAAAUCCCUCAGCUUAACUGGGGAACUGCGUCUGAUACUGGAUGGCUUGAGUGCAGGAGAGGAACGCGGAAUUCCAGGUGUAGCGGUGAAAUGCGUAGAUAUCUGGAGGAACACCGGUGGCGAAGGCGGCGUUCUGGACUGUAACUGACACUGAGGAACGAAAGCCAGGGGAGCAAACGGGAUUAGAUACCCCGGUAGUCCUGGCCCUAAACGAUGAUGNUGUGUACGGUAGUACGAUCCUCGUGUGCGACGACUACGCAUAAGUACACUCCGUCCGUCGGGUAGGUACGGUCGGCGACGGCGUAAGUAAACGUUAAAGGUUAAAGUUAGUACGGUUCGUUGAGGACGUUGCCGACGGACGACCGACGAGGGGAGGAGG
rnacentral:rRNA from 1 species